rnacentral:rRNA from 1 species
AGCGAACGCUGGCGGCAGGCCUAACACAUGCAAGUCGGACGGACCCUUCGGGGUUAGUGGCGGACGGGUGAGUAACACGUGGGAACGUGCCUUUAGGUUCGGAAUAGCUCCUGGAAACGGGUGGUAAUGCCGAAUGUGCCCUUCGGGGGAAAGAUUUAUCGCCUUUAGAGCGGCCCGCGUCUGAUUAGCUAGUUGGUGAGGUAACGGCUCACCAAGGCGACGAUCAGUAGCUGGUCUGAGAGGAUGACCAGCCACACUGGGACUGAGACACGGCCCAGACUCCUACGGGAGGCAGCAGUGGGGAAUCUUGCGCAAUGGGCGAAAGCCUGACGCAGCCAUGCCGCGUGAAUGAUGAAGGUCUUAGGAUUGUAAAACUCUUUCACCGGGGACGAUAAUGACGGUACCCGGAGAAGAAGCCCCGGCUAACUUCGUGCCAGCCGCCGCCGUAA